rnacentral:lncRNA from 1 species
GCCAAGCCAAAAAUCCAGCGUGCCAUGGGAAUUUUUUGCGUGCCAUUCAGCUCAUAGUGCCAUGAGUUGACUCAUGAGUCGACUCAUGCACUUCAAACCUUCAUAACUUCAAAAAUAUAAGUCCAAACACAAUGAAAUUUUCACCAAUAGAUUUCAAAUCAUUUGUUCUACCAAAUGGUACUAUCAAAUCAGGAUUUUAGUGAAAUUAUGAUUUUGCCCUUGAAGAGCAUAAGGACUUUUUCAUUUUAAAAUAUUGUAUCCCUUCAAUCUGCUUUGUAAUCAUCAAAAUCAAUCUAGGAGCAACAA